rnacentral:rRNA from 1 species
CCUACGGGUGGCAGCAGUGGGGAAUAUUGCACAAUGGGCGAAAGCCUGAUGCAGCAACGCCGCGUGAAGGAAGAAGGGUUUCGGCUCGUAAACUUCUAUCAACAGGGACGAAAGAAAUGACGUUCCCGGAUUAAGAAGCCCCGCCUAACUAGGUGCCAGCAGCCGCGGUAUUCCGGAGGGGGCAAGCGUUAUCCGGAUUUACUGGGUUGAAGGGGUGAGUAGGCGGAAUGGUAAGCUAGAUGUGAAAGCCUUGGGCUUAACCCGAGGAUUGCAUUUGGAACUAUCAAGCUAGAGUACAGGAGAGGAAAGCGGAAUUCCUAGUGUAGCGGUGAAAUGCGUAGAUAUUAGGAAGAACACCAGUGGCGAAGGCGGCUUUCUGGACUGAAACUGACGCUGAGGCACGAAAGCGUGGGGAGCGAACAGGAUUAGAUACCCGGGUAGUC